ensembl:lncRNA
CCUCAUUUGCUCCGUUUGUUUCUAAGUGUGUCUGGGUCUGUUUCCAGCCUUAUUUUGUCUUCCUUUACCAACCACCUCCUUUCAAAUAAGAAGAUUCUAGCAGGUCCAUUCUCAGAGGGCAGAAAACCCAGAUCUCUGGAGUUUCUGUCUUGAGGGGACCUGGCACCUAACUUCCUGACUCGACUGCCGGAGGGACCUGGAGGACUGUUGAUUGGACUUGCUCCUUCGUCGGGUCCCCACACCAGACGGUGUUUUGCCACGUUGCCCAGACUGAUCUCAAACUCCUGAGCUCAAGUGAUCCUCCAGCCUCAGCCCCCCAAACUCCUGGGAUUAAAGGUGUGCGUCACUGCACCCAGCCUGGAAUCUGUUUUAGAGGUGCCUCUAGUUUUGGUGUGGGAUGCAGACCCAGAAUGUGAUUUAGCCUUCAUCCAAAAAAUAUGGAUUUUGGUGUUUGAACCCACCAUUGUCAGAAUGGCUUCUGCUACUCUGUGGUUUUCCAGUUGGUUGAUUUCUAGGACUGUAAGAUCUUCUAUAAUUGUAAUCAAAAGACGGACUUCUGGAUCUCCUUUAAUAACUUUGGCUUCUAGAAUCUCUGUAUCUGUCAUAACCAUCAUGGCGUGAAGAACUGUACACAUUCCUCUGUUCCUUAGCUUUCAUCUGAUUUGGUGUCUUCUGAUUCCCCUGUGUAAACUGUAUUUCAACCUGAUGUCCACAAAUCUAUUUCCUGUCCAAAUUAUGCAAAGCAUCUUCAGCAUCACGAACAUCCUCAAAUUGAACAUAAGCAAAUCCUCCUGGACGGCAGGUGUGGAAAUCAAGUGGAACAUAAACAUCUCCUGUAGGACCAUCAUGACCAAAUUUAUCCUGUCCAUCUGCAGACCUGGUGUCAUUGGCCACGUUCCUGAUGGACAGAGACAUGUUUUGGAGGAUUGUGCAGGUAGUGGGACAUGACGAUGGCGUGAUUCCAGGCCGGAGGCCCUAACAGACCAGGCAAACUGUCCACAGCUCUGCUGUUAGAAAUUUGUAUUGCCAACAAGUUCCUAGGUGACGAUGAUGCUGAUGGUCUGGGUACCACUGGUCUAUAGAAAUGACCACAGCCUGAAUGAAGACAAGCUGAAGGCAGUGAGGCCACCUCUGCCCUUGUCAACCUUGCUCACAGGUGGAGAAAAGACUGUCACCUGAAGACUGAUGAUCUCUCCCCACAGCCUGCCACAUGCCUGAAAUUCACCCUCAGCGCCGGACUCCUUUGGACUCCUUAGCCUUAAAGUUGGCUUUGCAACUGCCUCUAGAAACUAGAAGCAGUGUUAGCGAGAGGCGAGCAGGGAUGCAGAGCGCAGGGAUGCGGAGGAGGAGGGGUUUGUGAUCCCACCUACCAGCCUCACUGCUGAGGGCACAGGCUUGGAAACCUCAGGCUCUGAUGUCAGAGAUAGCUGAACUGGUUUCCCUGUGCAGCCGCUAGCUAGCUUUUGACCUCAAAUCUCAAGGAAAAAGACCUUAUUAUUUCUAAUUCUCUUCCUGCCUUCUCAGAUGGGUGGGUCUUGGUAGCUGCAGGCUCUUGUCUGCCGGACUCAGUGUGGGUCGUGGGCCUGUAAGCAUGGAGGAGCUGGUAGCGGGAGCUGGGGAGUGGGAGGCUGCUGUGGAAAGGAAGAAGGAGGAAGCUGGGGCCAGUGAGAAAGCACUGGGGAGACCUAAGAGAAGGAAGCUGUGAGCUAUUGGGGGUGCAGCCCACCCUGUUCCUCUGGCCCUGCAUGUUGCCAUCAUCUUCUAUGGAGCAGGUCCCGGGAGGCUGAGUCCAUAUCCUGGUGGGUGUGAGGAAGGCCUGGUGCAGGACACGUGCCUGGUAGGGCAAAGUUGCCAAGUAGAUAUUAGGACCUUCUCCGUUCCUCUCUGCUCCAGGACUCCUUUCACCUCACACAUCCAUUUUUCUUUCUUUAUUUUUUUGAGAUGGAGUCUUGCUCUGUUGCUCAGGCUGGAGUGCAGUGGUGCGAUCUUGGCUCACUGUAACUUCCACCUUCUGGGUUCACAUGAUUCUUCGGCCUCAGUCUGCUGAGUAGCUUGGAUUACGGGAGUGAGCCACCAGGCCUGGCUCAUUUUUGUAUUUUUUAGUAGAGACGGGGGUUUCAGCAUGUUGGCCAGGCUAGUCUCGAACUCCUGACUUCAAGUGAUCCACCUGCCUUGGCCUCCCAAAAUGCUGGGAUUACAGGCAUGAACCACCAUACUUGGCUUCUUUAUUUUUUAAAUAUGCAUUUUUAUAAGGGAUUCCUGAAAACCAGAAGCAGUGACACACCAAGGGAUGUGACUUUAAUCGCAGGAUUUCCUGGACAGCACAGGCCAGGAGAGAGUCAGUGUCCUUCAGAUUGGGCCAAGUCAUAUCCAUGCAUCCAGGCUGCUCGCUUCUGCAGAAAGGCCUACUGUGAUACCAGGUUUCUGGACCUGCCCAUGCUGACACUGGAAUUCCAGCCUCCAGCAUGCAGCCUGCAGGGAGAAGGGAGCAAGCUCUAUGCAGCUCCACAAAGUUCCAGUGUGGCCUGUCUGCGCCUGGUGCUACUGGCUGGGGCUGACAUGGGGGAGCCUCUGAGCUCCCUCCUUUUUCAGCAUGGCUCAUGCACCCAUUUGCCUUUGGGGUAAUUCUGGAGCCUCCUUUACCUGCAUGAGUUAGUGCCUAAAAAAGGCCGGUGAGAACUGUGUGGAGACAACAGGCCUCAGAGGGUCCAAUCCUCAUCCCAUCCCUGGCCACCUGGGUGACCUUGAGCAAGUUCCUCAAUGUUACGGGCCCCAGUCCCUUGCUCUGUAAAAUAGAGUGAUGAGGGUGCUGACUGCAGAUGGCCAUGAGGGUGAAGUGAAUGUGUGUGAAGAGAAAGGCCCAGUGGAUGCUCCCUUGCAUCCUUACUAUAGGCUCAUCCAAUUGGACUAAAUUCUAAAAAACCCUGUGGGUUAUGUCACUGAGCUAAGCUCAGGGAAUCUUAUGGUGGGAUUUCUGGGUUACCUGAAGGUUAAUUCAUUCCUUUAUCCAUGCGACAAAUGUAUACGGAGUGCUGACGGCAUGUCAGACAAUAAGCUAGUAAAUAGCUAAGAACAAAAGCUUCUCUGGGAGGACUAUUCACGCAGUAGGGCCUUGAGGCUCUGGCAGACCUCCCUGGAGACUAAGCUGCUGGGCAGGUGAGAAUGGGGCAGGCAGUGGGCAUUGCCAAUGGAUGGAAGCCCUUUUCCAUACCAGGCAAAGUGGCAGAAGACCACGGAGGAACUGCCAGGCUGAAGGGCCCUCAGUGAGACCUUGGGGAGUCUGAGGCUGCAGGGAGUAGCCAGCAGCCUUUUUGGGCCAUGAGUGCUCGGCCAGCUCUUCAUCUGGAUGGGAGGAUGGAAGGAGGCUGGGCUCUGCAGGAGCUACUCUCUGCACAUCUGCCCUCCCGGAGUCGUCCCAGUGCACUGCAAGCUUUGGAGGUCAGGGCUUUGGAGUCAGACCUGGAUGCAGACCCUCCUCCUCUACUCUGCCUUGGGAAAGUCACUUUAACUUCUGGGCCUUAGUUUCUCCAUGUGUGAAAUGGUGAUGAUAAUUGCCUCUUCUUAUUUACUCUGCCCAGGAGAACCAAAUGAGAUAGUAAGAGCAAGUGCUUUCAAGAUGAUAGCACCUUAUGCCCAGUGUCUACCAUGUGGCAGUCUAUAGCAACAACCUCCUCCUCGAAUGGUUUUUAUAUUUUAAAACAGAAACAGAAUCUCUCACAUGUAACAGAAACAUGGAACAAGGACCUUUCAGCCUCUUUAUGGCGAGGCAAGGAUCUUACCAGACCGAUGGGGGAGUUGGAGGAAAGGAGCCGAAUAUUGGAGCAGCUGAGCUGCAGCGUGUAGGAACAUCUGGCUUACCCUUAGAUGCACAGUGGGUCUGAAUGGCUCCAGUGGGUGCCCCAAAUGCAGUGGCUGCACAGAUGGUUCAGUGGGCAGCUGCUGCCUUGUAGAUGUGCUCAAGCUACAGCUUCAAGACAGCAGUGGCCACAUUGCAGAUGGUGAUGACCUGUCUGCACUCCCCGCCUCCUGCUUAGGGUGCUCAGUGGCUUCCUGUUCACUCAGUUUUCUCACCCAAUCUUUUCAAUAGAACUUUUACCCACAAAGCACAGCCAAUGACCAAGGACACCUUAGAGCAAGGACUAGUAAACCACAGCCUUUGCACCAAUGCGCCCCACUGCCUGUUUGUGUACAGCCUAUGAACUAAGAAUGAUUUUUCCGUUUUUAAAUGGUUGAAAAAAACUCAGUAGAAGAAUAUUUUGUGAUACGUGGAAAUCAUAUGACACUCAGACGUCAGUGUCCAUAAAUAAUGUUUUGUUCACUUGUAUGGUUUAUGGCUGCUUUUGUGCUACAAAGGCAGGUUGCAUACUUGCGACAGACUGUAUGGCCUGCAAAACCUAAAAUAUUAUCUGGUCCUUUGCAGAAAAGGUUGGCUGAUCCCUGACUUAAAGAUACCUUUCUUCUAGGAGGAGUUGCAAUUUAAUUCACAUUCAUCCCUUAAGCAAAACAGAUGAAGCUCUAAUGGUGGAAUUUCAGGCGUGUAUCUAUGACAAGUUGACCUUCUAGGGGGAAGUAUGAGGAAUAUUAGAGCCAAGUAACAGAGGCAGCAGGAUGUAAAAUAGAAAUUUUACUAGGCAAUAGGAAUCCUGGUUUCUAAUUCCACCUUCAACUAAUGAAUAAUUAUGUGAUUUUGAGUAAAAAGGCUUUUCAUGUCCCAGCCACUUUCCUUACCCAGGAUCUCCUCUCCUGCCCUUAAAAAGGAAGACAAUAGCUGUGAAAUGCUUUGAGACCUAAAAAAAGUCAUUCAAAUCAAAGAUUAGGAGGGAAAAAAAAGAUUAGGCAAUUCUAGAACAUUUUGAUAAGGUGAUAUCUGAUAUUUCUUCCCUUUUUUGAUAUCCAAAAUAUCUGGUAUUUCUUCCUUUUUUUUUUUUUUUUUUUUUUUUUUUUAAAUUUUUUGGGAUAGGGUCUUGCUUUGUCACCCAGGCUGGAGUGCAGUGUCACGAACAUGGCUUACUCCAGCCUCUACCUCCCAGGCUCAAGCAAUCGUCUUGCUUCAGCCCUCCAACUAGCUGAGACUAUAGGCAUGUGCCACCACGUCUGGCUAAUUUUUGUAUUUUUUGUAGAGUUGGUGUUUGCCAUGUUGCCCAGGCUGGUCUCAAACACCUGGGCUCAAGCCAUCCGCCUGCCUCAGCCUCCCAAACUGUUGGGAUCACAGGUGUGGGCCACCACGCCUGGCCUUUCUUCCUUUCAAAGAAGGGAAACAAAAUGUCUAUAGGUGUAGUGACCCUAUGCUCCUCAAAACCCUUAGCUUGACAGCAAGUCUAUUAUAGACCCUUGACAUUUGUGCAACUGACAUGCAGUCAUUCCCAAGCCACCCAGAAGGUCCCUGACCUAUAUAUUUGUUAUUUUGCCUAGGCAAAAAUCUGAGUUACUCAGCCACUACUAAGUGAACCUAGUGGAUGCAGUGGAUGCAGACAUCCCAGGACAGCUGGCUGUUCUUUCCUGGUUAUGACAGACAUAGUAACUAAUAAAAUGAUUUAAAACAUUCUUUGUAAAUAAACGCUCUGUAUUCAUGACACUGGCCCUCUCAACUGUCUAAGGAAGGACUCUCCAUGAGUGAUGUGUUUUACAUUAAAAGUAUUUAUUU